CCGCCGCGGGGCCGCCACCAGUCGGCGCGCCGGCAGCUGCAAGUCGACCUCAGGCCGGAGCGGGAGGGGCGGGAGGGGCGCCCCGCAGUCCUCCGACCCGGCUGGACCUUGCCUGCGACUUCCCGGAACAAUAAGCCCCAGGGCCGGAGUGCUGUUGGCCUGCCCCGUACCGAGAGUCACUGCGCCGCGACCCCUCCCUCUGGCCCGCGGUGGCGGCGGGGCGCUGAGGCGUGACCUGGUUCAGGGUUGUUUGCCAGCGACUUCGGGGGAACAGCCACUGCCCGCCGGGACACUAGCCUUCCUGCUCCGCCGCCCUCGAAGACCUACGCUCCAGGAGCGCCGGAGUCCGCAGCGGCGCCGAGGGCCCCUCCCUCGGGCCUGCGGCUUCUGAGAAGCUCUUGAAGUGUUCACAUUGGAGUUUUCUAUCGAAACUAAAUUGUCAAGUGGCUAACAGGCUGCUGACAUCUACACAAGCACUCUCUUCUAUAAAGUUUCAUUGAUAAGCUCCGACAAGCCAACCAUUUCAUUGGAUUUGAAAGUACUGACUUAAGAAUUGCAUACUUUAACCCUCAAGUAUACAGGAAUACUGUUAUUAGGUAAUUUUUUCCCCAACACGUGUUAAUCUUGUCUUCUCUACAAGAUUAUCAAGCACUCAGGCAAGUGAUGAUAGUGUUGUUUUAUUUUGGAUCAUGGCACCCUUCCAGAGAACUCAUCUCCUGAGCUUCCUGUUGCUCUUCCCUCCCAGCCUUGCCUACCCCAGCAGAGGAUGAAACUGCUCAAAAUUAUCUCAGUUUUACAAAUGAAUAAACCAAAGAUCUCAGAGGUUAA